CUUUAAGCAGUGUCCAGAGGAGGCUUUUCGUGACCAUCUGAGCUGUUUGCCUUUUUUUUUGGAUUUUGACAGCUGCAGUAACGUCUAAAGAAGACUCCCUUCCUGCUGCUGCACAUCCCUCGACUUCCUCUUUGAUCCUCAAGUCAUGAAUCAGGCGUCAGGACAGGAUGCUCCAAGCUGAAGUGAGAAGUGUCUUUGUGUGUCACACGGAAAAUGUCAUAAAUUUGAUACAUUUCACUUUUAUUCAUAGCUCAGAGUCCACUCUGAACAAGAAAAUACCCCUAACUGUGCAUGUAAACCUUCCCUCCAGACAGGAUAUA